AUGAAAUUGAAACGCCUUUCGGUCGUGCUGGCUUUUGCAAGUGCACACCGUCUGGUUUCAUCCAACACCCUUGUGCACCUUUGGCCACGCGUUGUAAUGACGCGGGGAUUCUUUACACAAACUCGUAUGUAACAGAAUGUAGAUCUAGUGCGUAAGCACGAAAUGUA
rnacentral:misc_RNA from 1 species